rnacentral:lncRNA from 1 species
ACAGUCAUAGAUCCAUCACAUAAACACAAAAGCACCACAAUUAUAUAUUCACAAAAGUAUCACAAUUAUAAUAUCAUUCACAACUAGAUCACUAAUGUUUCAUAUCACUCCAACUAUUGUUCAAAAGCCCACAACUAUAUCACUCUAGCUGCUCCAGAGCUGAUCAGUCACAAAAGCACCAAAGCUACACUAAUGCUUCAAGCAGUUCAAAAGCCUUCAGACAACCACUCCAGCUUCUUGUAUCCUCCUGUUUUAAGGUACAAGCUUUCUUUGUCCAGAACACCCUAGAAAAAAGUACAUCAAAUUAGUAUAUUGUUGCUGCAUUUGCAAAUAAAAAUACAGUUUUGAUGCCUUAUCUACCUCCACUAGAUGGUGUUGCAGCCUUAUGAUGGAAUGAAUUUGCUUCUGGAAUGCACAAUACUUCAUGUGCAACAGCCCCCCCAAAAAUAGCAACUCCUUCAACACAUCAUAAGUUUAUUUUUUAAGUAAGACGAAGCAAUCCACAAGUUCAUAUAAGGGGGUGUUUGGUUUCUAGGGACUAAUG